UAUCUCUGUAGAGUCUGCAUAUCAAUAAGCGGAGGAAAAGAAACUAACUAGGAUUCCCUUAGUAACGGCGAGUGAAGCGGGAAGAGCUCAAAUUUGAAAUCGUCAAGGUUUUACCUUGACGAAUUGUAGUUUAAAGAAGUGUUUUCUGUUGGUGUUUUGGUAAAAGUUCUUUGGAAUAGGACAUCAUAGAGGGUGAGAAUCCCGUAUUUGACCAUUAUUUCCAGCUUUGUGAUACACUUUCAAAGAGUCGGAUUGUUUGGGAAUGCAGUCCAAAAUGGGUGGUAAAUUUCAUCUAAAGCUAAAUAUUGGCGAGAGACCGAUAGCGAACAAGUACCGUGAGGGAAAGAUGAAAAGAACUUUGAAAAGAGAGUUAAACAGUACGUGAAAUUGUCAAAAGGGAAGCGUUUGACACCAGUGUUGUUUUCUCGAAAAUCAAUUAAAAAAAGUUGGAUUUUGUAUUGUUAAGACCUUAUCAGCUUACUGUACUCUUUUCUUGCUUUUUUUAAUGCACUUUUCGUUUAACAAGUCAACAUCAAUUUCUUUUGUUGUAAAAGAGUCAUUGGAAGGUGGCUUUCACUUCGGUGAAAGUGUUUAUAGCCUUUGAGCUUCUGCAAUCGGAGAGACUGAGGUCUGCAGCGUAGAUCCUUCGGGGUUAGAUACAGUUAGAUGCUAAGUUAUAGCUUUUUCAUAGACAACUUGUUGACUAUAAUUUAAUCAUGUAGCUUACUCGCUUUGCGCUAUUUUACCUACGCUUAGGAUGUUGAUCUGUAGUGCGUGCGC
rnacentral:rRNA from 1 species